rnacentral:misc_RNA from 1 species
GUUUACUUUGAUUUUCCGUUGUUUUGCUAAGGAACAGCUAUUAAUGGGUUAACUUUAUUUACUUUUCUGCUGGAAUAUAUUUCAAAUUGCAUUGGCUAAGCCUAUUCAUGGACUUCAAACCUAAAGAGAGAUUUUUGAAAGUGCUUCUUGGGGGAAGUUCUUAAUAACUUAUUUGAGGCAUCUAUCCUGGAGGGUUCCUAUUGUAGUCAGGAACUUGGAUGAUGGUGUACAUUGGACUAGUUUCAUUUUUCUAGUCAAAUAAUGGGUUAAU